CCCGCUCCCUUCGGCAACGGGUAUUCUCGGGCGGAUAAUACGGACGCGCUGUUAUUGCUUGAGAAUACGCGUAGCCGAGGGGACGCC
rnacentral:pre_miRNA from 1 species